GCCGCCGUAGCUCAGUCUGGUUAGACAAAGUGUGAAAAAACCAUGGACCAAAGCACGUCCUUGGUAAGGACGGGGUCCCGGGUUCAAAUCCCGGCGGCGGCUCCA
rnacentral:tRNA from 1 species